CCUACGGGUGCAGCAGUGGGGAAUAUUGCACAAUGGGGGAAACCCUGAUGCAGCGACGCCGCGUGAGUGAAGAAGUAUUUCGGUAUGUAAAGCUCUAUCAGCAGGGAAGAAAAUGACGGUACCUGAUUCAGAAGCCCCGGCUAACUACGUGCCCGCAGCCGCGGUAAUACGUAGGGGGCAAGCGUUAUCCGGAUUUACUGGGUGUAAAGGGAGCGUAGACGGCGAGGUAAGCCUGAAGUGGAAGCCCGCGGCCCAACCGCGGAACUGCUUGUGGAACUGUUUUGCGGGAGUAUGGGAGGGGUAAGCGGAAUUCCUGGUGUAGCGGUGAAAUGCGUAGAUAUCAGGAGGAACACCGGUGGCGAAGGCGGCUUACUGGACCAUAACUGACGUUGAGGCUCGAAAGCGUGGGGAGCAAAUGGGAUUAGAUACCCCAGUAGUC
rnacentral:rRNA from 1 species